rnacentral:lncRNA from 1 species
ACACUAGUGGUUUGCUUGAGGCAAACAUGUCCUCCCUUUUUCUAGGUACAAUCACAGACUUUUAUAAUAAUUCGGACACAAGAUUCUUCUCCUCCCCUCUGUCCAGUCCCACAGAAGUCAAGGUGGGUGGGGGGAGCUGUGAUGUUUACAGUCUUGAGCACUUGAUUUUCAAUAUUACAUACCCCUAAAGACCUCCUUGAUCAAGGAAAAAACCCAUGACUAUGAUGGGAUUCCCAACUUGGGACAAAAAAAGAAACUUUUGAAACUCAUUGUACUUCCCCUCCUUCAGCUUUCUUCUCAGGGUACAGAUAAAUCCUUCUCAAGGCUUUUGAAAAUAGGUCAGGAAAACUAAAACUUUUAUGGGGUGGGGUGGGGGAGGUAGUUUUAGUCUACAGAACAGUAAUAUUAAGGGGUCUUGAGAAUUAGGGUUACAAGCCAAAUACUACCCUGAGAAUUACACACUGAAUCUCAUCCCCUUCUUUUAUUUCACUCAGUAAGAGUUCAGCACAAAAGUCUUCCACUAUAAUUUAUUUAUCCAUUCUUUAGUCUAUGAGCAUUCCUCUGUAUUUUAACCCCUUAGGCAAUAUUAUUUGUAAUCACCAGACAUCUUCUUUUGAAAGAUUAUAGAUUAUGCUAAUGACAUUCAUUAUCCAUGAUCUAAGGCAGUGACUCUUGUGAAGAAGGGACUAGACAUUUCUACCAACUGCCAUCAACUGUCACUGAGACAAAGCAGGCAAAUCUAGUUGAGGCAGUGAGCCCCUACCCACCUCCUGAUCACUUCCUACCCCCAACAGAGAUGGAGGCAGCAUCCUCCAGGGAAAAAGCCAACAGCACUUCCCUUCAGACCCUGAUGAAGGACUCUGGGCCUGAGCCAGUGUCCCACUUACCCACAAGAGCCAUUGUGAAAGGGAACAAUCAUGAUGGAGAAAGGGUGGAUAUUUCUCAUCAUUACCAUCACCAACACCUGACCAACUGCCAUCAACUGAAAGAUUCCUGGGGAAAGCUGUCAUCACACCAAGAUUUAUCGGUAACACCGCUACCUUACCCAGACUCUUGA